rnacentral:sRNA from 1 species
AUAGAGCACACUGGGGCCCAGAAGAGGAGAAAGUGCCUGGUUGGGGUGCAGAGAGGGUGCCAGAGUCCAGGGCGGGGGUUCCACUGGAGGGAAGGGGUCCGAAUCGCCAGGAUGGGGCUCCCAGCACCAGACGGAGACCUCUCUGCACGCGCUUAGGGCCCUGGAUCUGGAAGCCGGGAAGGGGUGGGGGUGGGAACUUAUCCGUCUCUCCCCACACAAGCACAGCCCUCCCCCGCGGCCUCUGCUUCCGCGUCCCUGUGUCGUCUCCGCGGAGUCUCAUGCUCUUCCUUCCUCCCCCCAGCCGGCUCAGUUCGGGGAAGCUGCAGGAGUUCGGCGUGGGUGAUGGCAGCAAGCUGACCUUGGUACCCACCGUGGAAGCGGGCCUCAUGUCUCAGGCCUCAAGGCCGGAACAGUCCGUGAUGCAAGCCCUCGAGAGUCUCACGGAGACGCAGGUCAGUGACUUCCUGUCGGGCCGUUCGCCACUGACACUGGCCUUGCGUGUGGGCGACCACAUGAUGUUCGU